UGGGUCAGCAGCUGUAAUUAGAUGAGACUGAAUGCAGGCAAAUUAGGUCCUGAAGGAGGACCAGCUUAUACAGGGAGCCGUCGAGCGGACCCUCCAGCCGCAUAGGGACCUCCAGCGGAUGGCAGCCACGUAACGACAGACGAGUGUUAGCGCCGUUCUCCACCACCACCUCAGUCUCCUGAUAUAGAGGUCCCAGACCCAAAUCGAACAUCGGAACCAUCAUGCCAUUUAGUGUCGGGGAUAUCAUCGGAGAUGCGUACUCUUCAUAUAAAUUAGGUUUCUCCAUCGACAUUAUCUGAAGGCGUUACCAUUUUUCAAACACACAAAUAAGAGAGAUAGCUGUGCCUUUUCCCUAACCUGGGGGGGGGGGUUCCCACCUCACAUAUUCCUUUGUCUGCUGCCUAUAGAGCCCCAUGUUCACACCUGAAAGACUUCGGUAUACACACACACAACUUUGCAGACAGAUGUCAGGACUGUGGAAUCUGCUUUGUCUAGAACCCCACAAUCCACCAAAUGGAACCAGGAGCCAAGGACAUUUAGAAUUAAAGAAUGCUGAGCUUAGGAAUUUGUCCCGAGCCCUAGAAGUACAGUAAAUUCAGCUCACACUCCUCCCACACAAAAAUUCACUCUUCAUUACCCCUUCCCCCUGGCCACACCAGCAUUACUCAUUUUAGCACUAUAAUGCAGACAGCAGGGAUCAUUCUGUUGUUGCCAGCGUUAAACAAUUGAGAAGCAGAAAUCAUUCAUAGAUCUACCAGUGGCAGUGUGUAUGGGGUCACUCUGGGAGCACUGGCAAAUAUAAUUGGGGCACCUUUGCAAUCCUUGCCAUGUUGUGAGUGUACCAGAAGCUACAAGGAGUAAUGUGCAACAUCCUGUGUGUGUACUGAUGUUUUUUAGGCAUGUGCAUAGCAGCUCAGAUAAGGGUCACCAUAAUUACACAUGUUACAAUGGCUCCAUGUAUAGGCCUCAGAUUUAGGUACAGAUAAGAUAUUAGACAAUCCCAACUAUGGCCAUAUUCACACCAUACAUUUAUUCCACUAUCAUUUGACUUUAAACAGUUAUGGCUUCCCCCCAAGAAUCUGUUAGUUUAUGAGAGGUGCUGAGCGUUGUUAAGAGAACCUUGUUCUCUUCAUAGAGCUACAAUUCUCCAAGUUCUUUGGGAAGAGAGACUGACUUGUUAAACUACUCUGGCAUGCAAAAACAUCACAGAACCGAAAUAGGUUGAUUGGUCCACCUCUAGCUGCAGUCUGAUUUGAAGCUUCAGUCAUUCCUGUGGAUGAUCACUUUGGGUCCUCUAGAUAUCUGAACUAAGCCAUAGUCUAUGAUAGCUUAGACAUUAUAAUGACAAAUGUAUGAAUCCUUUUCUACAAAAUUUCAAAAUAAAUCCCCCUGACAUCAAGAUGAUGCACUCAGUAGAAUUAUCCGUUUCUUCAUGUACUGUUGAAAUUGUCGUAGUUUGAUUAUACUAGGGAGGAUAUGAAAUUCUGAAACAUUUCCCAUUCAACUCACAUUCAACAACAUGCAUAUAUUCAUCAAAGAAUCAAUAUACCUCACAUUGGAAUUUCAUGUAUGAAUGAUACAAAGCAUGUAUUCCUGUUGAAGUUUUAAAACACCAGAAAUGUGUUGAAGGUAUUUAAGGUAACCAAAGUGAGGUUUCCCCUCUGGGACUGGUUGGACUAGUUUUGUCAACUCUAACAUUUAUUAAUUUGGCUUUGUGAGAUAACCUUUAUCCAAAAGGAACCCACAGAGAAUGAUUUUUGCCCUCAUAAUGUUACUGUGAGGUGCCUAUAAAUCUGGCAAACUGGUGUCUUGUGAGUACUUUGGAUAUUGAGAACAUGAAGCAAAACUGAGUGCUUCACACUGUCAAAGUACCCAGGAGGUGCUUUUCUAACAGUGCAAUAAGGCUAAGGCUAUAGUGUAUAAUGUACCACAGUCCAGUCCAUGCAUCCCAUCAGAUAGGUGACAAUAUUUGCAUGGUGGAGGGUAAGGGAUGUAGUGCUUCACGCCCCUCUGCGCAGGGCAUUCACGGAACUCAGGUUCCAAAUGAUGCCUUCGGCUCAUCUGGAUGGGAGAUACCUGGGAAUCCCGACCAAGGACCAGAGAUGUGUCUAUGGGUGUAACCAGACUGAGGACAUCGCCCAUUAUUUGUUACACUGCCCCCUGUAUGAGGACCCUAGAAGGAAAUUUCUAGCUCAUUACAUCUGUAUGUAUGUCCACACUGGGGAAAAUUCCCAGGACCUGGUAGUCGAACUUUUAGCCAACAACUGUAAACAAACAACAGUUGCAGUGGCCAACUUCGCCUUGGCCGCUAGGAAGCUACAGGCGAGCCAUAUUAAGAUUUAUAAUGUUUUAUGAUUAUCUAAACUGGAACUACUUUUAGCCUCCUCGACAUUUAUUUGUAUCU